rnacentral:snRNA from 1 species
CUAAUCGUGUAGUUAAUGUGGAG